AGUGAACGCUGGCGGUAUGCCUAACACAUGCAAGUCGAACGGCCGCACAGUAAGCUCUUGCUCUUACGGGUGGCGAGUGGCGGACGGGUGAGGAAUACAUCGGCAUCUACUUUUUCUUGGGGGAUAACGUAGGGAAACUUACGCUAAUACCGCAUACGACCUACGGGUGAAAGCAGUGGAUCUUCGGACCUUGCGCGAUUCAAUGAGCCGAUGUCGGAUUAGCUAGUUGGCGGGGUAAAGGCCCACCAAGGCGACGAUCCGUAGCUGGUCUGAGAGGAUGAUCAGCCACACUGGAACUGAGACACGGUCCAGACUCCUACGGGAGGCAGCAGUGGGGAAUAUUGGACAAUGGGCGCAAGCCUGAUCCAGCCAUACCGCGUGGGUGAAGAAGGCCUUCGGGUUGUAAAGCCCUUUUGUUGGGAAAGAAAAGCAGCAGGUUAAUACCCCGAUGUUCUGACGGUACCCAAAGAAUAAGCACCGGCUAACUUCGUG
rnacentral:rRNA from 1 species